rnacentral:rRNA from 1 species
AGAGUUUGAUCCUGGCUCAGGAUGAACGCUGGCGGCGUGCUUAACACAUGCAAGUCGAACGAUCCUUCGGGAUAGUGGCGGACGGGUGAGUAACGCGUGGGAAUCUGCCCUUAGGAGGGGGAUAACGGCUGGAAACGGCCGCUAAUACCCCAUAUGCCGAGAGGUGAAACGAAUUUCGCCUGAGGAUGAGCCCGCGUCUGAUUAGCUAGUUGGUGGGGUAAAGGCCUACCAAGGCGACGAUCAGUAGCUGGUCUGAGAGGAUGAUCAGCCACACUGGGACUGAGACACGGCCCAGACUCCUACGGGAGGCAGCAGUGGGGAAUUUCCGCAAUGGGCGAAAGCCUGACGGAGCAACGCCGCGUGAGGGAUGAAGGCCUCUGGGCUGUAAACCUCUUUUCUCAAGGAAGAAGAACUGACGGUACUUGAGGAAUAAGCCACGGCUAAUUCCGUGCCAGCAGCCGCGGUAAUACGGGAGUGGCAAGCGUUAUCCGGAAUUAUUGGGCGUAAAGCGUCCGCAGGCGGCCUUGUAAGUCUGUUGUUAAAGCGUGGAGCUCAACUCCAUUUAAGCAAUGGAAACUACAAGGCUGGAGUGUGGUAGGGGCAGAGGGAAUUCCCGGUGUAGCGGUGAAAUGCGUAGAUAUCGGGAAGAACACCAGUGGCGAAGGCGCUCUGCUGGGCCAUAACUGACGCUCAUGGACGAAAGCCAGGGGAGCGAAAGGGAUUAGAUACCCCUGUAGUCCUGGCCGUAAACGAUGAACACUAGGUGUCGGGGGAAUCGACCCCCUCGGUGUCGUAGCCAACGCGUUAAGUGUUCCGCCUGGGGAGUACGCACGCAAGUGUGAACUCAAAGGAAUUGACGGGGGCCCGCACAAGCGGUGGAGUAUGUGGUUUAAUUCGAUGCAACGCGAAGAACCUUACCAGGGUUUGACAUCCUGCGAAUCCCUUGGAAACGAGGGAGUGCCUUCGGGAGCGCAGUGACAGGUGGUGCAUGGCUGUCGUCAGCUCGUGUCGUGAGAUGUUGGGUUAAGUCCCGCAACGAGCGCAACCCACGUCUUUAGUUGCCAGCAUUCAGUUGGGCACUCUAGAGAGACCGCCGGUGAUAAACCGGAGGAAGGUGUGGAUGACGUCAAGUCAUCAUGCCCCUUACAUCCUGGGCUACACACGUACUACAAUGCUACGGACAAAGGGCAGCAAGCUCGCGAGAGUUAGCAAAUCCCAUAAACCGUGGCUCAGUUCAGAUCGUAGGCUGCAACUCGCCUACGUGAAGGAGGAAUCGCUAGUAAUCGCAGGUCAGCAUACUGCGGUGAAUACGUUCCCGGGCCUUGUACACACCGCCCGUCACACCAUGGAAGUUGGCCAUGCCCGAAGUCGUUACUCCAACCCUUGUGGAGGAGGACGCCGAAGGUGGGGCUGAUGACUGGGGUGAAGUUG